rnacentral:rRNA from 1 species
UACGAGGGGGGCUAGCGUUGCUCGGAAUCACUGGGCGUAAAGCGCACGUAGGCGGACUCUUAAGUCGGGGGUGAAAUCCUGGAGCUCAACUCCAGAACUGCCUUCGAUACUGGGAGUCUUGAGUUCGGGAGAGGUGAGUGGAACUGCGAGUGUAGAGGUGAAAUUCGUAGAUAUUCGCAAGAACACCAGUGGCGAAGGCGGCUCACUGGCCCGAUACUGACGCUGAGGUGCGAAAGCGUGGGGAGCAAACAGG